rnacentral:rRNA from 1 species
GACGAACGCUGGCGGCGUGCCUAAUACAUGCAAGUCGAGCGGACAGACGAGGAUCUUGCUCCUCUGACGUCAGCGGCGGACGGGAGAGUAACACGUGGAUAACCUACCUAUAAGACUGCGAUAACUUCGGGAAACCGGAGCUAAUACCGGAUAAUAUAUUGAACCGCAUGGUUCAAUAGUGUAAGACGGUUUUGCUGUCACUUCUAGAUAGAUCCGCGUGGCAUUAGCUGGUUGGUAAGUUAACGGCUUACCAAGGCCACGGUGCGUAGCCGACCUGAGAAGGUGAACGCGGACUCUGGGAGUGAGCCGCGGUACUGGGUCCUACAGGCGGCAGCGGUACCUAAUCGUCCGCGAUGGGCGAAAUCCUGCACGAGCGGCGGCGCGUGGGUGAUGCAAGUCUUCGGGUCGUAUGACUCUGUUAUUGGUGUAGAACAAAUGUGUAAGUAACUAUGCACGUCUUGACGGUACCUGAUGAGGAAGCACCGGCUAACUACGUG